rnacentral:tRNA from 1 species
GCCCGACUGGCUCAGUCAGUAGAGCAUGUGACUCUUGAUCUUAGGAUCGUGAGUUCAAGCUCCAUGUUUGGCC